rnacentral:lncRNA from 1 species
ACUCUCUGAAGAGUCUUUCCUCAAAGUUCUAAAUCACUUGAGAAAUAAGACAAAGUCAGCAGGCUUACUAUAACAUGCUGGGCAGAAAGACACAGCUAGAAAAGAUAUGCUGGACACAGUCUGGAGCAUGAGAAGGCCCACUGGAGAUCACACCUGAAAAGCAUCACAGUUCCCCAAGUCACUGCUCCCCCUGGCCUGAGUGGAAGAUGGGGGCUAGAAAAAGAUCAAGCAUUUGGUCCACUGGCUCCAGCUAAUUGUGAAACAUGGAGCUAAAUGUUGCCACCUACCAACCAACUAACCGCUUUUACUUCCAGGGAGAGUAAUGAAUGGAGGGAAAGAAGAGUAUUUAGAGAAAAAUCUUCCUCCUGGAAACCAGAAGGGUAGGAUAAUGGAGUGUUCUCUAAGACACCUUUACUG